UGUCGCCCAGGCUGGAGUGCACUGGCGCGAUCUCGGCUCACUGCAAGCUCCACCUCCCGGGUUCACGCCAUUCUCCUGCCUCAGCCUCCCGAGUAGCUGGGACUACAGGUGUCCUGGGGAAGUGUCGCUACGUUUACUAUGGGAAAAACUCAGAGGGCAACAGGUUUAUCCGAGAUGACCAGCUCUGAAGCCAACUUCUGUAUACCUUCACCCAUUUCAUGAAAAUAAAAUCAAAAGGGAAAUCAAAAAUAAAGAAA
rnacentral:sRNA from 1 species